rnacentral:rRNA from 1 species
UGCGUAGGCGGAAUAUUAAGUCAGUGAUGAAAUCCUGCAGCUUAACUGUAGAACUGUUAUUGAUACUGAUUUUCUUGAAUUCAGUUGAGGUAGGCGGAAUGUGUAAUGUAGCGGUGAAAUGCUUAGAUAUUACACAGAACACCGAUUGCGGAGGCAGCUUACUAAGCUGAUAUUGACGCUGAGGCACGAAAGCGUGGGGAGCGAACAGGAUUAGAUACCCUGGUAGUCC